UACGGAGGGGGCUAGCGUUGUUCGGAAUGACUGGGCGUAAAGGGCGCGUAGGCGGCUUGCACCGUCAGAUGUGAAAUUCCUGGGCUUAACCUGGGGGCUGCAUUUGAUACGUGUGGGCUUGAGUGCGGAAGAGGGUCGUGGAAUUCCCAGUGUAGAGGUGAAAUUCGUAGAUAUUGGGAAGAACACCGGUGGCGAAGGCGGCGACCUGGUCCGUGACUGACGCUGAGGCGCGAAAGCGUGGGGAGCAAACAGG
rnacentral:rRNA from 1 species